UAUCUCGAACCAAGACACCAA
rnacentral:piRNA from 1 species